rnacentral:tRNA from 1 species
GGGCUUAUAGCUCAGCCGGUUAGAGCGCACGCCUGAUAAGCGUGAGGUCGGUGGUUCGA